rnacentral:misc_RNA from 1 species
AACUGCACAUGCUUAUAAAAUAAGUAUCGAGAAUGGUACUUAUAGGAGUAGAGAAGAUAAGAAAGUCACGCGGGAAAGCCAACAAAAAAUACAAAAUUUUUUUACUGCUGUGAAAGAUAUCAAUUUCAAUCAUUCUAAUGCAGGAAAUAUAAUUCUGGAGCAUAUCAACAACUUAAAUUCUAUUAAACAACUAAGAGAUGCAGAGAUUAAAACUAUUAUGGAGCAAAUUAAGAAUGUUAGAACAAAACAUGUUGAAGAAAGUGAUUAUUUAGAAAGUUAUGAAUGCGCUAUUAUCAUUAAUGAGUCUAACACGAUAGAGGCAAUAAAAUUUUUACGAAGAUUUUAUCUACAAAAAAAUAAAAGUAAAAAAUUUAUAUUGGUGAAUGAAAGUGAUUUACCAGUCUAUCUAAAACAGCACGUUUUACGAUUACGAAAUUUUAGUGGAAAAAAAAUCGAAUAAUACGGAUGUUAAUAAAAAAACCUACAAAAAUUUAAAACUUCCGACAAGAAAAGAGGUUUUGGUUAACUAAAAUUUUCUUUCUUUUUCAUCAUCAUUUCUAUCAUAUAUGUGGUAUCUUCGAACAAUUUAUAUAAUUUCUUUCGAAAAAUUUUCAUUUUCAUAUAUUAUUAUAUUCUUUUAAUCUCUUGGAUUAAUUUCAUGUUCAACAACAAGAAAAAGUUAAAAUUAACAAUCGUUGACAUCGAUUCAGCAUCAUUUAAAUAUAAUAUGAGAAGAAUAACUGAAAUGUUAGCUUUUCUUAAGGUCUGGUAUCAUCGUAGUAUCGUACGAAGACUAUUUCUUGGAGAUUUAAACCCGGGUUUUUCAUAUUCUAAUGAUCGUGAUGACAAUUUACAGCCGAUCAGUCAAGAUGAAGCUGCAAUAGGUAGCUCUCUUUUAAAAUAUUACGAUAGGCAUUAUGGGACUGGAGAUAUUUUAUCCAAAAGUGCACCAGAACCCAGUCCUACUUCACAGAGGGAUAAAUUAAGACUGAGCUUUGAUAGCGAAAUGCCAAAACAAAUGCGAUUAAAAGACAUUGGGCGAGGAUGGAGUUUUACUUCAGAAAAAAUAAAUGUCACUACUUCAGAAAUAAAAAAGAGAAUCUGCUUGAGAAACAUUAGUGCUUUUUGCUAUUAAUUUUACACGACUUAAUGUUCAUAUGAAUAUGGGUAAUGUGAUAGGAAAUGUUGCUUGGAUGACCAAAGACUUCCGUUCAAAUGGAAGAUUAUCAAUAGAAAGUACAGGACAUAUAAACUUAUUUAUUGGAAUUGGUAUAGGUGGAUCUAGUCUAGAUGCUAAAAGUGGAUUUGUUGGUGGAACAAUAGAGCUAAGUAAAAUUGAUACAUACAUUCAUAUUCGUGAAGAGCCUGGAAUUGAGCCAGAUCAUACACUGGGUUUAAAAUUAUUCGCAUUGGAGUUACGGCUUGAUUACGUGGGCACGAGCGUUUUGAUGACAAGAAUAUCUUCUUUAGAUGUUACUCUGCGAGAUGAAUGGAAAAUUAAUACUCAAACCACUAAUAACAAUGAUGCUUUUAUGCCAACAAGAAGACCAGCGAUUAUUUUUAUGCAUGGUGAUCUUGGUUGGGAUCAGUUACAGAUUAUGAUAAGUAAAUCAACGACUGUAGACUUACUUGAAAUGUUUUAUAAACUUGGUGAAUUCUUGGGUCAACAGUUCAAAAGUAGCAAACGAGUAUUUAAUUCUCUUCAACCCCGAAAUCAAAGAGUUAUCUCUAGCAAUAGUUUUAAAAAUAAACAGCAGAAAAAGAAAUCAAAUGAUGGGCCCCGGACAUUUAAUCAAACAGCUAUAUCUGAUGCUAGACAUCAUCGACAUUGGCAACGAGUUUUAGCACAAGUAGCAGGUUUACAGCUUAGCACUCUACAAUUUUCUUUACCUAGUAAUGCCACUGUUCUUGGAGGAACUAUGGAAUUUUAUGGAUGCAAUAUUAGUCUUGCUUGUUUCCACGGAAUUAAUUUUACAAGUAAAAAUUGGACAUUGUUUUCUCUUGAAGAGCCUUGCAUCAGUUUUGCCACAGAAGCACAAGAAAUACCAAGUGUUAUGCUUAACAUUAUGCUUUUGAUAAUAGUGAAAUUGAUGCUGUUGACCGGUUUCCGUGUGUCGAAAGAGAAUGAUCAGAGAUACCACUGGACAAUAAUACGAACAGUCGUGGCAGAAGAACAUCGUCAGCUUCUAUCAAGCUUCAAGAGCACACUCAUGCACGAGAAGUUAUUUUUAUUUUGUUUUACCUUCAUUGCAGUUACACUUAAAAACUGAGCAUUUACAAACAGCGAAAACACCAGACGUAAUAAGUGAGAAGCCGCUCGUGAAAUACAGUUUCAUUACUGAAUUUGAAGAUCACAUAUUUGUUGCCGUGUAUGCUGAAGCAUUUUUCUCUUUACAUGAUCUCAUCACUUCUUACGUCAAUGAGAAGGAAAAAGUACAUGCAGGAGGCUUGCGAACCAAUAGCCCCGAUCCUCAGGAAAAACAGAGUACAAAUAAAUGUCCAGCAUCGAAUACUACGUCAAUUCCUUCAAUCUCUAUCUCUGAAGAAGAGAAAAAACGAAAACAAUUCGAUCCAGCCGAAAUGUUUAUUAAAGAUUAGCGAUCAUAUAGAUGCAAAACAUGGCAUUUAGAACCGACCGUGAGAUUACUUUCAUGGGCUGGAAAAAGUAUUGAGCCUUACGGAAUAGACUACAUUUUACAAAAAUUAGGAUUUUCUUAUGCACGAACAACAAUUCCGAAAUGGAUUCAAAGAGGAUUCAUGGAUCCACUGGAUAAAUUACUAGCUGCUCUUAUGUUAAGAAUGGUUCUAGCCGGGAAAACAAAAUAGAGAGGAUAACGCGUAAUGCCUCACAAAAUCAAAUGAAAUAAAAGACAAUUAAAUUUUACAAGCAACGACUUAACACAAAUAUAGAGUAUUAUUCAUUGUCAUGCUUAGUCGAGCUUUAGGUGGAAAUUAAAUACUAAUUGUAGUUAAUGAAUUUGGAGAAAUAUUUUUCGGGGAAUAAUUCGGUUGAUUCGUGGGAAUAUUGGGAAACUAAUGUGAUUAAAUAGACAAUUUCAUACUUACGAAUAAUAGUGAAAAUUAAUAUGUUAUAGUAAUAAUAGUAAUAUAAUGUAGUAAUAAAUUAUAGUAAUCGGUGAGCGGCUUAUCAUUAGUAGAUGAUUCGUCCAUUUGUUCCGUUCUGUACUGUAUAUAAAAUAAAUAGGUCAAUAAUAUCUCUAUAAAUAUCAUCGAGAGCGAACCAAAAAGUGCAAAUUUAUAAUCGUUAUAUGUGAUAUUUUUUUAUAAACA